UACGUAGGCAGCAAGCGUUGUUCUGAUUCAUUGGGCGUAAAGGGUGCGUAGGCGGCGCGGUAAGUCGGGUGUGAAAUCUCGGGGCUUAACUCCGAAACUGCAUUCGAUACUGCCGUGCUUGAGGACUGGAGAGGAGACUGGAAUUUACGGUGUAGCGGUGAAAUGCGUAGAUAUCGUAAGGAAGACCAGUGGCGAAGGCGGGUCUCUGGAUAGUUCCUGACGCUGAGGCACGAAGGCCAGGGGAGCAAACGGG
rnacentral:rRNA from 1 species